ensembl:lncRNA
CUAUUAUAUAUUAUGAAUUUGCUAAAUGUACAUAUGAUAUGUAAUGAAUUAGCUAGGUGGCUAAUGUUAGCUAGGCUAGGGGUUAAGGUUAGGAGUUAGGUUAAAGGGUUAGGGGAAGAGUUAGCUAAAGGGUUAAGGUUAGGGUUAGCUAGAAGGGUUAAGGUCAGGGGAAGGGUUAGCUAAAGGGGUUAAGGUUAGGAUCAGGGGAAGGGUUAGCUAAAGGGGUUAAGGUUAGGGGAAGGGUUAGCUAAAGGGGUUAAGGUUAGGGGAAGGGUUAGCUAAAGGGGUUAAGGUUAGGGGAAGGGUUAGCUAAAGGGGUUAAGGUUAGGGGAAGGGUUAGCUAAAGGGGUUAAGGUUAGGGGAAGGGUUAGCUAAAGGGGUUAGGG